AGAUUCCUCCUCAACUGUCAAGAAGUAGCUAAAGUACCACCUCCACUCUGUGAAACCUGUGCUGUCUUCCCUUGGGCAUGAAACACUCCCAUGGCUCUGAGCACCCCACUGAUGUGACACAGAUGCUGGUUCCAGAAGAAAAGAAAGAAAACAGAAAAGAAAAAUAAAAAGAAGGUAAGUGAGCCUACUUAUAUAAACUGCAUCCAUGGAAGAGAAGCAGACAUCCCAGCAGUCAUUACCUGUGUCAAACUGCUUGUCAUCUCAGCACUGGAUCUUCUGUCCCUUCACCACGGAAACAGAGUCAUCACAAUCUCAACAAAUCACAGCCUACUUUCAUACUUCCAUUUUAAAAGAAAAAUCAGAAGGAAACGGAAAGGUAAUAUCAAAGUACUAUCUUAAUAAUUUAUAAAGGCUACAUUGGAGAACCAAAUGGGCCCGCUCCCUGAUAUUCUAUUCUUGCACAGCUUUAGGACACACAUGUGCCUAGAAACUCUUAUGCCAUGAGUUACAAGGGAGGACCUUGUGCAGGCAAAAUGCUGAAAAAGAAAAAAAUGAGCAAAAGCAAAAAAUGUUUUGCUUUACCUCCUAAGUAAAAGUCAAGCCACGCAUUCCCAUUCCCAAGAGAUACAAGCUUGGUUAGAAAGUGGCAGGGACUCCUAGAAGAUUCCUCCUGCCUGAGCUUCUAAUGCUACUGUAAUAAAUGGCCACAAACUAAGUGGCUUAAGUAACACAAAUAUUACAUUACUAUUUUAGAGCUCAGAAGUUUGAAAUGAGUGUUGUGGCGUCGAGAUGCCAGCAGGGCUGUAUUCUGUCUAAAGAGCCUGUGAGAGGAUCUGUUUCUUCACCUUUUCCACCUACUAGAAGCUCCAGAACCAGCCUGUAAAUACUUCUUUCCAAACUUUGCUUCACUUUAAUGUAAAUUAAUUUAUAAUCUCCCAUAUACUACCUUUCUCCUUAUUUCACUUACGAAGACAUUGCGAUUAUUUUGGCCUCUUCUGAAUAACUGAGGAUAAUCUUUUUUGAUCUCUAGACUUUUAACAAAAUUAUACCUAAAAUGCCCCUUUUCAUAUGUAAGAUGACAAAUCCAUAGGUUCUGAGGGUGGAUAAGUUGCCAUCUUUGAAUAGUGUACUAUUUUGUUUAUCAAAACCUUAUUUUAAUAAUAAGUAUGGAAGAGCAGAAAAAUGAAGUCUUUCCUAGAUCCCUCUGUGACUUUUUUUCUCCUUAUCUAUGAAGUUGACCGUUAAGACUACAGUCAAUCAGAGACAAAGCCAUCCAAGU